rnacentral:rRNA from 1 species
GGUGAACGCUGGCGGUAGGCCUAACACAUGCAAGUCGAACGGCAGCACAGUAAGAGCUUGCUCUUACGGGUGGCGAGUGGCGGACGGGUGAGGGAUACAUCGGAAUCUACUUUUUCGUGGGGGAUAACGUAGGGAAACUUACGCUAAUACCGCAUACGACCUACGGGUGAAAGCAGGGGAUCUUCGGACCUUGCGCGAUUGAAUGAGCCGAUGUCGGAUUAGCUAGUUGGCGGGGUAAAGGCCCACCAAGGCGACGAUCCGUAGCUGGUCUGAGAGGAUGAUCAGCCACACUGGAACUGAGACACGGUCCAGACUCCUACGGGAGGCAGCAGUGGGGAAUAUUGGACAAUGGGCGCAAGCCUGAUCCAGCCAUACCGCGUGGGUGAAGAAGGCCUUCGGGUUGUAAAGCCCUUUUGUUGGGAAAGAAAAGCAGCAGGUUAAUACCCCGCUGUUCUGACGGUACCCAAAGAAUAAGCACCGGCUAACUUCGUG